AUUGAACGCUGGCGGCAGGCCUAACACAUGCAAGUCGAACGGUAGCACAGAGAGCUUGCUCUCGGGUGACGAGUGGCGGACGGGUGAGUAAUGUCUGGGAAACUGUCCGAUGGAGGGGGAUAACUACUGGAAACGGUAGCUAAUACCGCAAAACGUCGCAAGACCAAAGUGGGGGACCUUCGGGCCUCGCACCAUCGGAUGUGCCCAGAUGGCAUUAGCUAGUAGGUGGGUUAAUGGCUCACCUAGGCGACGAUCCCUAGCUGGUCUGAGAGGAUGACCAGCGACACUGGAACUGAGACACGGUCCAGACUCCUACGGGAGGCAGCAGUGGGGAAUAUUGCACAAUGGGCGCAAGCCUGAUGCAGCCAUGCCGCGUGUAUGAAGAAGGCCUUCGGGUUGUAAAGUACUUUCAGCGGGGAGGAAGGCGGUGAAGUUAAUAGCUUCACCGAUUGACGUUACCCGCAGAAGAAGCACCGGCUAACUCCGUGCCAGCAGCCGCAGUAA
rnacentral:rRNA from 1 species